AAUAUCCAAUUUUUUGAGUUUUUUCAGAUAAUAUAUGGUUCUAUGAACUGAAAUUACAGUUUCUUCAGUAUAGGUUUUCAUUCAAAUUGGGAAAUUGUUUCGAAUUAUAAUUUAAGACACCAAAUGCGCAGAAUCAGCAUCAUUAGUUCCAUACCCUGCCCAUAAGAGCGCCUCAAUCACGAUUAUUUAUUUUACCACUGAGUUGUAUAUAUUUAGUGUUCUGUGGUUGUAACUCUUCUCUAUGAAUAGACUCAAUCAUAGAUUAUUUUCUUUUUCUAUAUUUUGUUCUCCUUGAACAAUAAGUCAAUCAUACAUUUUAUUUUUCUAUCUGUUUUGUUUAGCCACAGAAUAGAGAGGUAUUACAGAAGCGACACUCUUUUUCAUGGUACCCAACCGCCAUAUUUUUAGUAGUUUGUUUAUGUUUACAUCUUUCCACGUGUUUCGGUGUUCGAGUUCAUUGCCCGUUUGACACAAGUACUGUUCGGUUGUGUUCUUUGAUUCGUUUCAAAAACUUUUUACAAUGAGUGGAAAUAAAAAAGGUGGAUUUUAUUGUUUGGUACGUGGAUGUCUGAAUCGCACGAGAGACGGUUAAUUGUCAUUCUUCAAUUUACCAAAGGAAACUGAAAGAAUUAAUCAAUGGUUAACCAUUUGUUCCCGGGAGGAUCUCUUUGAAAAAUCUUCUGUCCAGUUGAAAGGAUAUAGGAUAUGUGCUGCACAUUUCGAGGACAACAUGUAUACUAAUUUCUU